UGAUCCUACUUGGAUGGGACUUGCUCUGUGUGUUUCUUUCUCAGUCCAUGAGCAUGGGACUACCAUUGUUGACAAUCUGGAUUCACAUGUUCCUUGUGACUUUAUCAUUUGUGUAUUGCAAACCGAUAUUUGUGGUCUGGGACAUGUCCACAUGGACCAUAUGUAUUGCCUCACCAAAGAAGAUCUCAUGUUGUUACGUCUAAGUGGAUUCAUUUGGCUUUCUUAUAUACCACGUGGGUCGUUUCCAAAAUGGUUGAUUCAUAGCAGUUUCAUUGAGGCUUCAAUUGCGACCGAUUGCCUGGGCUUGACAGUGCAGAAAUGUGGGUUCCGUCUUUUGUAUGAGAACGAAGAGAUAGAGUUUAAGGAAACAAUAAGACAUUUAAGCCAAACCCGGGAUGUCAGUAGUGAUCAAUUAACGAUUGCUAAUGAAAAUCCCCUUCCCUCUUCCCUGUAUUACUCAGAAAAGAGAAAAAACAGGUUGCUAAUGAAAAGACGGAGGACAAAGCAGCUGAGCUCAGUACAACCAAGCAUAAAGACAAGGGCAAAAGAAUCGUAGAAUAACCUCUCCUCUACUUGGGCUACUGCUUUUGUUACUUUGGGGCUCUAGCUUCCUUUUUGAUUUAAUAGUCCGGUGAACGUACAGCAUUGUAGUGCUCCCACAAUGUGCCAAUAUUCUGCUACAAUAAGACUGCAAGUGUGGGCUGCAUCUUUUAUACCAAAAUGACGAUGAGUUUUUUAAGGAAAUACUGAUCAGUACAACCAGCAUCUCUGACGAGCACUUUCACCUUGAUCCACAUAGUAAGAAUCAAGACUUUGAUCGAUGCCUUGUCUAUAAUUCUUGUUUUCCUCCACACGACAUUUAUGACUGGUUCAGCCAUCGGAGUGAUGAGCCCCAAGUGACAAUCUUUCUACCUACAAAUUUGUCACUUGGAUGGGACUUGCUUUUUGUGUUUCUUUCUCAGUCCAAGA